GUUGUUACGUUUUCCAAUUCAUCCAAAGCAGUGAAUCUUUUCAAAAUUAUACACAAUAUACGUUAACACGGUCGCGAAUUAAUAUAUUAUCAACGCAUGGUUAAACAAUGAAAGGGAAACCGAACACAUUAUCCGGGCCACAACACACGUUGGUUUGAGUGUGUUGGCAAUGAAAUGGAAACCGGUCCAACAGAAAAGUUUCCGUGUACUGUGCCACGGCCAAACGGCGGACAGACCAUAGAGCGACGGGCACAGGAGAAAGGACUCGCGCAACAACCGCGGCUGGCAGUGCAGGCGAAGAGGCUCCCCCGUCGCGGUCAACUACGGCGCUGUCACCCCCAAGCGUUGAACGUUUGCCGACCAACCCAGCAGAAGUCAGAACACAACCCUGUAAAUCGACAUGUCCUCAACUAGGGAUUGGACGACCGGCAGCGAUGACAAGCAAACAUGUGCAAUGAUGGCCAUUAACAUAGGGUACAAAUAGCGUACAAAUAUAAAGUGUUUCGAUAAUUAUAAGAAAUCGCCACCUAUAAACACCAAAUCACGAGUUUGUGCGAUUCCAAACAAGAUAAAAUGAAGACAAACAACAUCUGCGUCCCGGAGGAAGCUACUAAGUACAUUAAGGAUGAGCUAAAUUGGAGAAAGCGAGGGUCUCCUUUAAGUAAUUGCAACAAGAAAAUUUGAUUCACUAACAUAAAACAUUUUAUGCAUCAGAAGAAAUUUGUUCUGGAACAAUAAACAUCCAGUAUGAGAAAAUUAAAAAAAAAGACGCGUUGAACAUACACGGUUGAUUAUACUCUAUAUAAGCUCAUGCAUUG